rnacentral:lncRNA from 1 species
UGUAUAAUACUUUUUUCUGAGUCAAGUAGUUUCUGAGUUAUCGACACUUUUGUCUGUCCACUUGAUUCAAGGUUUUUGAAAAGUUGCAGUAACACUUUUUUGAGUAUAUCUCGGGCAUUUUUUGAGGUACUCAAAUGAGGGUUACACUCAAAGGAGCUGUGUUUAAUGGAGAAUAUUUUGAUGUAUAAUACUUUUUUCUGAGUCAAGUAGUUUCUGAGUUAUCGACGCUUUUGUCUGUCCACUUGAUUCAAGGUUUUUGAAAAGUUGCAGUAACACUUUUUUGAGUAUAUCUUGGGCAUUUUUUGAGGCACUCAAAUGAGGGUUACACUCAAAGGAGCUGUGUUUAAUGGAGAAUAUUUUGAUGUAUAAUACUUUUUUCUGAGUCAAAUAGUUUCUGAGUUAUCGACACUAUUGUCUGUC